rnacentral:pre_miRNA from 1 species
AAACACCGUAGUUUUGCACCGUUUAUGUCUAACCUUUAGUCAUCCGUCUUAUUUGAAAGAUUUCUAUGAUUAGUAUUUUUUUUAUUUAGAUGAUAAAACAUGAAUAAUGCUUUAUGUGUGACUUUUUUUUAAAAAAAAAAUUAAAUAAAGCUGACGGUGAAUAUUGGACACGAAAAUCCAUAACUGCAUUUAAA